rnacentral:rRNA from 1 species
ACUCCUACGGGAGGCAGCAGUGGGGAAUAUUGCACAAUGGGGGAAACCCUGAUGCAGCCAUGCCGCGUGUGUGAAGAAGGCCUUGGGUUGUAAAGCACUUUCAGUAGGGAGGAAGGUAGUGUAGUUAACACCUGCAUUAUUUGUACGUUACCUACAGAAGAAGCACCGGCUAACUCCGUGCCAGCAGCCGCGGUAAUACGGAGGGUGCGAGCGUUAAUCGGAAUUACUGGGCGUAAAGCGCAUGCAGGCGGCUUGUUAAGUCAGAUGUGAAAGCCCGGGGCUUAACCUCGGAAUUGCAUUUGAAACUGGCAGGCUAGAGUCUUGUAGAGGGGUUAGAAUUUCAGGUGUAGCGGUGAAAUGCGUAGAGAUCUGAAGGAAUACCAGUGGCGAAGGCGG